AUUUAAAUAGCUAAAAUAAAGCAUAGUACUGAAGCUACUAAGAUAGUUUUUACUUUUAAAUA
rnacentral:tRNA from 1 species